CUGCUGCCUCCCGUAGGAGUCUGGUCCGUGUCUCAGUACCAGUGUGGGGGACCUUCCUCUCAGAACCCCUACGCAUCGUCGGUUAGGUGGGCCGUUACCCCGCCUACUGCCUAAUGCGCCGCAUGCCCAUCCCUGUCCGGCCGAAGCCUUUCCUGCCUCCGGGAUGCCCCGGUGGCAUGUACGCGGGUUUAGCCCGCCUUUCGGCGGGUUGUCCCCCUGACAGGGGCAGGUUCGCAUACGUGUUACUCACCCGUGCGCCGGUCGCCGGCGGAGAAAG
rnacentral:rRNA from 1 species